rnacentral:ncRNA from 22 species
AGAUUAUUAAUCGUGGUAUCCAGCGGUUUGAUGUACAGGCUGUUAUUAUUCAGCGCGAUAUCGCCACUGGCGCGGACAUCGUCACCGACAAGCGGAAUAUCCAGAUGCAGUGUGCCUUUCACCGGCCCGCCAAUUUUCAGCUCAUCCAGCGCGGUACCCAGCGAGGAUUUCAGCGGCGUCUGAUGAAAAUAAUUACCCACUUCAGGCCCUGGACCAUCCAGUUCGCCAUCAAUAAGCAGCAUCUCUUUUUCAUAAUCAGGAAUGACCGCGCUAAUAUUUUUGCCUUCCACCUUACCCAGCCAGAUUUGCGGCGCAAACAUCCACAGACCGUUAUUGGCAAAAUCCAAAUUGAUAUCCAGCGGCGUCAGCGCAGGCCAGCCCGGCUGGAACUCAAAGGUGGCAUCCUUAACCGGCACC